rnacentral:lncRNA from 1 species
UUCCACCCUCAAUGAGUUCUGGACAUAUGCGAGAUUUUGGCUCGCUCGCUCGCGCUCUCUCUCUCUCUCUUCCCAAACUGAAACCCUGACUCUAGAGGGAGAAUGGCUUCAAUUUCAUUAUCCUCACUGUCGGUACCAUUUUCGACCUUACCCAAUUCCUCCAUUAGUAAUUGCAGACCCGAGUUUUCUGUUCUCUCUUUGCCUUCCUCAAUUUCCUCAAAGUUACAUGCCCUGAAACCCUAUCGAGUUUCCCCUUCCAGAACUUUUGCUGUUCCUGAAGUUUUGGAAUCCAAUGCUGCUUCUGAGGUUUGUUUUGUUAUCGACUCAGUUAUAAUUAUGUUUGAUAAUUAUGCACUUUUCACAUGAUUGAAAUGAUUUUCUUUUUGGGUUUUCUGGGGUCUUAGGACGAGGCUCCUUCCUCUUCAGUGCCGAGUGUUGGUACAGAUUCUGAGAAAGUAACUUCUCUUUUCUUCUUAUUCACCUGCACGCUAUGUUCUUUGUAUUUGGUUAUUAAUAUUGCUUUUGCUAAAAUUAUAGUAGCAGGAUUAAUUAGUUGUUGAGUGACAUUGCGUAUCAAUUGCUGCUGUAAUUAUCUACUUUAUCCUAAUUACUAUGAGGUAGACCAGUAGAGAGAGAAUGGAGUUAUGAAAUGCAAUGGCUCCAAUUAAAACACUGUCACUUUUCAUUGAUGUCAAUGUAUUUGCCUUAACACGUUCAUAUCUAAUACUGAAUCAAUCAGUAUUCAGUGCGAAGAAUUGUCUGCUAUAGGAAUUUGGUUUCACAUGAGCUUUGUAUAUUACAUCCCAGGAGAACCUUCCGGGCCCCAUUUAGCAGGGCUUUUGAAAAGCCAAAAGCGAUUUUGAUACUAAGAAAUUGCUUUUGAACAUGGUUGAAUAGUUUUCUGAAAGUGUUUUGUGUGGUAGAGGGAAAACUGAUUCUACAAGAUGCAGAAGCAAAAAUAUCUUCAUGAUAUUUUAAAGUCUCGUAGGGAUUAUCAUCGUAUUUCCCUCUACUAUUAAAAGAGCGAAUGCUGCAAUCACUAUUCAUUUGUGAAGUAUUUUCUUUUCCUAUUUUGCCCUUGAAUGGACUGUUGAUUAAUGAGGCCAUGCAUGGAAAAAAAGGGCAAUAUGAAUAUUUCAUUCAUCUCUUUCACUUUGGGUUGGGUUGGGUUGUAAUGUACUGAAACCCUAGACUAUUCCCCGCCCCAAAAAAGGCCACAAAAAUUUUUCACUCAAAAUCCUCGUUCUGUGCUAUACAUUCACCUAAAACUCUUUGACUUCGAAGUUCUGCUAUGCGUAUCGCUCGCUGUUGGAUAGCUUGUAAAUUUUUGGGCUGGCAAAGAAGUGUAAUCUUGAAGAAGCCCAGAUGCUCGUGCAAAAACUACAUCAGUACCAAUUAGAAGGCUCGAAUUCCGUAUUUUUUUAGAGUUUGAUUUUGGCUAUGAUUAAUUGGUUAUCCGCGCUUCUGAGAUUUAUGAUACUUGAAGUAUGAGGUUGAAUAAUGGUUGAAUUUCUUGAUAUGAACUGAAACGUAAUUUAUGUUAUAUUUUUGUUUUAAAUUUUUAGAAUUUGAAUUUCCUCUUGAAUUUGUGUGGGCAGGGAUGACCAUUUUACAGCUUUUUAAUGCCGGUUCUGCUUCAGAAAAUUCUUGAUUGACAAAGCUGCUUAUUUCUGAGCCAUCCAUUUGUUUUCCACCACCCAUUUCCUUAAUGCCCCUGUUGUUUCCUUUCUCACACAAAAUUGCCUCCUCAACCUUUGGUGAAAAUCUAAAACAAAUAGAGGACAUCUCUACAGGAAAUUGUAGAGUCUCGACUCCAAGUAUAUUCUUCUCAUACAAGUUUUUUUUUUUUUUUUUUUUUUUUUUUUUUUUUUUUUUUUUUUUUUUUUGGUAUUUUAUUUAAUUUUUUUCGAACUCUAUUCUUCUAUGUUUGUUUCAAUUUUUGUGAAAGUUUCCCAAAAAUUCAGAAAACUUCAUGUUUAGUGCAGUUUAGGGUUAUAAGUGAUGGAAUUGAUGUCUCUAUGUUUAAGUUAGGUUAGAGUCCAUUGUUUCUUUUUUGGGGAUUAUAGUUAAUAUUUGUAGUUGUACAUCCAGAAUUUUUUGGUUCAUUGUUGUUUGGUUGAAAGUUUAUAGUGUUGGGCUUAUUUAUAUAUCUGCAUACGUCGUGUUUUAAUUUUUUUUUUUCCCCACUAUGAGUUCUCCUGUGCAUCAAGAAUUACAAACCUUAAAUCAAGAUUUUAUUGUUUACUGUUUACAAUUUUUUUGAUUCCGCGUUGUUUUGCUUAUUUUAUUUCUUCUAUUUAUAUGGAAAAAGAAGGAAAAAAUGUUCAAGGAUUUUGAUUAGUUUAUAAAUAUCUGAUUUCUUGUUUUUCGCUUCUAUGACCAUUGAUUAUUCUAUUAUUAUUUACUUUAAUGGGUGUAAGACUCAUUACAGAUUUUUUAGCAUAUUUUUUAAUUUUUUUACUAAAUUUAUGUGCAAAUAAAAUGAGAAAUUAUUUAAAUGGAAGUCUCCUAAUUUUCAUGCAAUGCCAUUUUGUUAGUGUGCAUUAGUCCUAUGCAAUUAUUCAAGUGAGUAAAUUAUUGAUGGAAGUGUGUACCUUUAACGUGCUUGAACUUCCAGUAUAUGCUGUUUAGUUUUUAUUCACUUUUUCAUUCUUCAUGGAUAAUUUAUUUAUUUAUUAUUAUUAUUUUUAUUAUUAUUAUUAUUAUUAAUUUUUUUUCCCAUUUUGCUAGACAUCUAGCCAUACUUAUGCUGAGGUGCAAAAUGUAUUCCAACUAUAGUUUUUCUUGUGAAAAGAAAUUUAAUAACACCACUUCUCCUAGGAUGUCUUAAAUAUAUAAUAUGUAGAAAUAGAAUUGUAUCUUGAUGUGAAACUUUCGAAUUAUAUUGUAAUUUAGGCAACAUUCUUUCUUUUAUACAGAUGUUUGCAUUGAAAUUUUGUGAUAGAGUUUCUUGUCAAUCCUUGACAUUUUUAAGACGUUAACAUUACCUUCAAAAUAACACAUCACGUGCAUUGCACGGCAAAAAACUAGUAUCUUUAAAAUUUGAAAUAAGGUUGGUGUACUGUCUAUUACAGAUUGAACACGUGCUUAAUGCAUUAUAUUAUUGAUCUACAAAUUGUGUAUAUUAUUUUAAUACUUUCACACACAUGUAUAUUUAAAUUAUUAGGAUGAAAUGGAAUUAGACAAGGGUGUGAGGAAGACAGAGGAGUCAUUGAAUGAUAUAGAGUGCUUGACGGCAUGUCUCGUAUAAUGUCCACAAAUUUGUGAACUAGGAUCAACUUACUAUGCGAACCAACAAUGCAUUUCUCUACCAGGGCAUGAUCGUAUACCAAUGGAGGUCGAAGAUAGGUCUCAUAAGGUCUAAAAAUAAUUGGGGUUAAAGGCUAUCAAUCUCCACACAGAUCAAUCCAAUGGAAGGAAGAUAAGGCAUACAAAUAAUUGGGUUAAAGGUGCCCCUCAUGGGGUGGUUGAGUUGAUAGAGUAGGUGAGCGCGGAAACCUUUGGUCACGAGUUCGAUUUUCCCCGCCAACACUUUCUCGAUCUAGCUUGUCGAAUCGAACUUGCCUAGUGUGGUGUACCUGGCUGUCACGAUUUACCAAUGGAGGUCGAAGAUAGGUCUCAUAAGGCCUAAAAAUAAUUAGGGUUAAAGGCUAUCAAUCUCCACAAAAAUCAAUCCAAUGGAGGUAGAAGAUAUGGCAUACAAAUAAUUGGGUUAAAGGCUAUCAAUUUCCACACAAAUCAAUUAUUAAGCCGUUUGAUUAUCUUUUCAUUGUAUUCACUUCAUUAUUAGCGCAUGUUGGCACUCAGUUUAUAUCCAUUCAUGGUUGGUCCCAUAAGUUUUAAUGUUUUGAUGUUCCUUUCAUUUUGUUCCAUGCAUACUGAUAUUCCUAUGAAUUUGGCAUGUCCAAAUAAUUGAGUGCUAUAUUUUUACAUUUUCUUGUUGGAUAUUGAAGAAUUUGCGCACUUUUGUUCGGGAAAUAUCUGUAUUUAGAUUGAAUUUUGGUCCAUCUGAUACUUAGAUCAAAGUUUUAGCUGAUGAGAUUCCAUAAUAUAGUCCUAUUGUAAAUUGCUGUAAAAAUCUUACGCAUUAAGCCCUUGUUUCGUAAAAUUUAAAACUCGUCAAAGUCAACAAUUAAUUUUAUCUACACAUUUUAUAGGACACACAACUUUUCAACAACACAUUUCAUUAACUUUUAUAAUAAUCUGCUAAAAAUUUGAUUUUAAUACCUAUCAAAUAGGGGAUAAAUAUUUAUUGUGGUAAAAUUACCAAAAUAUCUCCCCAUAGCUACAAAAAUCACAUUUCUUCAAUUUCAUUUGCCAAGUUUUGAUUAUAAAUAUGGCAUCGAAACUAUUCUUCAAGAAAACCAAUCUCAAGAAUUUUAUGCAAAUUCCUCUUGCUCUCUAGAAAUAAGAAUGACUACUUUACUUUGUCUUACUUUUCUCCUCUUUCCCUUGAGUCUGUCAAGGUAAAUAAUGUUAGCUAAAGCUGCUGAGAUUGACUUCAUCAUUUACUUGAUAUUCAAACACAAUACAAGAUUUUACACCUUGAUUAUCACACUGAAAUCCAACGUCUACAAAUAGCAAAGAAAUAAUCACACAUGGAUCACAUCUGCCCAUCAAUUUAUUUUAUAAUGAGAUGAUAACAGUAGGUCGAGUACACACAAUUUAAUCAUCGUCAAUCCAUGCAAGAUCAACGUUUGACAUCCAGUGACAUGCCUCACCUUUUCCAGGGGAGAAUUUCAAUAUCUUAGAAGCUACAUGAUUCUCAAGCCAUGUCGAGAUAUCCAUGUGACAAAUUGAGAUCACGAUUUUAACUGGGAGUCGAGUUUUGGCUUCAACCAUGUCUACAGCAUAGAGUCGAGAUGAUAGGAUUGAGUGACAGAAAUAGGCUGCAAAUGGAGGAUAAACUUCAUGACAGACAAUUAUUUUCUGCCUAUCAAAUUUCUUGAUUUUUUUUUAUCAUAAAAUCCCCUGUUUUUGUGCUUUGUGAAGCCAGUGCAAGUGACUUCUUGUUGCCUAAGGCGAAUUUUGAAAAACUAAUCAUUUCUCCAAGGGAUUUUGUGCAAUUCUUGAUUCCUCCAUUUAUAACUUCUGCAUUACAAUAAAAAAGGGUAGUUUCAAUGGAAUUUUUCAAUAGUUUAAAGGACUUGAGAAAUAUUUUUCUGAUGUUUUUUCUGUUGAUAGAAAUUUUUGAAGCUAUUUCUUGAGGGAGAAAUGCGCAAUUCGAAUAUUAAUUUCUGAAUCUAGGGCCUGAAGAAAGAAAAAUUGUCUAUCUUAGUGGGUUGAAUAGUUGAUGCAUACUUAUUGUAUACUUUGACCAGUUUGUAUACUUUGGUCAGUUCCAGGAAUUUUUCAUAUUCAAAUGAGCAAGUGAGUUUUGCUAUUGAGCAAAAACUGGAAUUUUCUGAGAAUUCAUUUUUGGACAUCAUUUUAAUGUAAUAAUUCCGAUCCUUUUUUGUUAAUGGGGAUAGCUUUUUGAAAACAGAUUUAAACAUUUGGUUUUACACAUUUUCUGACCAGAACUUGAUAUGGUCGAAAGCGAUGGAUGAUAUACGGACUUGAGUUGACACAAAAGAAGUGAAGUAAAGACAAAAGAUCAAGAGAAAGAGGAGAAAAGUAGCCUUUUUUUUAUGACGAGGGAACUAGCGGAAUUGAGUGUAAUGCUAGAAACCCAAGAAAGUGUUUCCAAUCUAUGUAAUUGUUUAAUCUGAAAAGCAUGGCGUUAAAAUGAGUAAAGGCUAAUGGAAAACUUUGAGGAAGUGGUAGACGGAGGAUUUUGAGUCUACAAAUCUCAUUGGAUCUCUAUCAAAUGCGAGGAAUUCAUAUAUUUCUUCUAUUGUCGGAAAAGUUUUGUGAACUUUUCAAGAGUAUUUGCAUUUAGGCCAUCUCCAUUGCUAAGGGCAUCCUUGAUUUCUUUGUGCAAAACGCCAAGUGAUUUGAGUACAAUUGCUGUGGUUUGGGACUUUAUGGUGUCGAGAAUGAAAAUCUGGGAAGCUGGACCGAAUCUAUCCCUUAUCCUGGUUGUUGAAUUAAUGUCUUGUCAAGGAGAUUUUCGAUUGAUGGCAACAUAUCCAAAGAGAGCUUCAACAAGAUGGCCAUUGUUGACCUCGCAAAUUGGACUUCCACGUGGUCAACCAAGAGCCACUCCACGUGUUCCUCCCUGCACACAACAACAUAUGGUCAGGAGCACACUGUCGGAACCAACGAGGGUGGUGGCAAUCAAAUACACUCCGACGGUCAAGUCAGUGGUCGAUGAUCGGAACGAUACCGAAAUCGUGCAAGAGAGUGAGGAGAAUAUGAUGCUUGAAGCUUGUGAACUAAGAUCAACUUACUAUGCGGACCAACAAUGCAUUUCUCUACCAGGGCAUGAUCGCAUACCAAUGGAGGUCGAAGAUUGGUCUCAUAAGGCCUAAAAAUAAUUGGGGUUAAAGGCUAUCUAUCUCCACACAAAUCAAUCCAAUGGAGGUAGAAGAUAAGGCAUACAAAUAAUUGGAAUAAAGGCGUCCCUCAUGGGAUGAUCGAGUUGGUGGAGUAGGUGAGCGCGGAGGCCGUUGGUCACAAGUUCGAUUCUCCCCACCAACACUUUUUUGAGUCGCACCAGACUUGUCUAGUGCAGUUUACCUGUCUGGCACGAUUUACCAAUGGAGGUUGAAGAUAGGUCUCAUAAAGCCUAAAAAUAAUUAGGGUUAAAGGCUAUCAAUCUCCACACAAAUCAAUCCAAUGGAGGUAGAAGAUAGGGCAUACAAAUAAUUGGGUUAAAGGCUAUCAAAUUUCACACAAAUCAAUUAUUAAGCCGUUUGCUUAUCCUUUUAUUGUAUUCACUUCAUUAUUAGUGCAUGUUGGCACCCAUAAAUUUUAAUGUUUUGAUGUUCCUUUCAUUUUGUCCCAUGCAUAUUGAUAUUCCUAUGAAUUUGGCAUGUCCAAAUAAUUCAGUGCUACAUUUUUACAUUUUUUUUUUUUUUGGAUAUUGAAGAAUUUGCGCACUCUUGUUCGAGAAAUCUUUGUAUUUAGAUUGAAUUUUGGUCCAUCUGAUAAUUAGAUCAAGGUUUUAGAUGAUGAGGUUCCAUAAUACAGUCCUACUGUAAAUUGCUAUAAAAAUCUUAUUCAUUAAACCCUUGUUUCGUAAAAUUUAAAACUCGUCAAAGCCAACAAUUAAUUUUAUCCACACAUUUUAUGGGACCCACCAUUUUUCAACCACACAUUUCAUUAACUCUUAUCAAAUUCUGCUAAAAAAUUGAUUUUAAUGCCCACCAAAUAGGGGCUAAAUAUUUAUUGUGGUAAAAUUACCAAAAUAUCCCCCAUAGCCACAAAAAUCACAUUUCUUCAAUUUCACUUGCCAAGUUUUGAUUUUAAAUAUGGCCUUGAAACUAUCCUUCAUGUAAAUAUCUUGAGGAUUUUAUCUGAAUUCCUCUUGCUCUCUAAAAAUAAGAAUGGCUACUUUUUUUUUGCCCUUCAUGGAGUGGUCGAGUUGGUGGAGUAAGUGAGCGCGGAAACCUUUGAUCAUGAGUUCGAUUUUCUCUACCAACACUUUCUCGGUCGAGCCUGUCACACAGGACUUGCCUAGUGCGAUUUACUUGGCUAGCGUUAGCUAUUGCGUCAGUUCAAGGGUUUAUUCAGUGCACACCCGAAAGGUAGCGGUUGCGGGUUCCUCCGUCAUAAAAAUAAAAUAAUAAUAAAAAUAAAAAAUGGCUACUUUACGUUGUCUUACUUUUCUCCUCUUUCACUUGAUCUUUUAUCUUUACUUCACUUCUUUUGCGUCGACUCAAGUCCCUACAUCAUCCAUCACUUCCGAUCAGAUCAAGUUCUGGUCAGAAAAUGUGCAAAACCAAAUGUUAGAAUCUGUUUUCAAAAAGCUAUCCCCAUUAACAAAAAAUGAUUGGGAUUAUUACACUAAAAUGAUGACCAAAAAUGAAUUCUCAGAAAAUCCCAAUUUUUGCUCAAUAGCAAAACUGUCUUGCUCAUCUGAAUAUGAAAAUUUCCUAGAACUGGCCAAAGUAUACAAAAUGGUCAAAGCAUACAAUAAGUAUGCAUCAACUAUUCAACCCACUAGCGUAGACAAUUUUUCUUUCUUCAGGCUCUAAAUCCUUAGAGAAUGAAAUAUAUUCCAUAUCCUAGAUUCAGAAAUUAAUAUUCCGAAUCGAGCAUUUCUCCCUCAAGAAAUAGCUUCAAAAAUUUCUAUCAGCAGAAGAAACAUCAGAAAAAUAUUUCCCAAAUCCUUUAAACUACCGAAAAAUUCCGUUGAAACUACCUUUUUUUAUUGUAAUGCAAAAGUUAUAAAUGGAGGAAUCAAGAAUUACACAAAAUACCUUGAAGAAAUGAUUAGUUUUUCAAAAUUCACCUUAGACAACAAGAAGUUACUUGCACUAGCUUCACAAAGCACAAAAACUGGGGAUUUUAUGAUAAAAAAGAUCAAGAAAUUUGAUAGGCAGAAAACAAUUGUUUGUCAUGAAGUUUAUCUUUCAUUUGCAGCCUAUUUCUACCACUCAAUCCCAUCAUCUCGACUCUAUGCUGUAGACUUGGUUGAAGCCAAAACUCGACUUCCAAUUAAAACCGUGAUCUCAAUUUGUCACAUGGAUACCUCGGCAUGGACUGAGAAUCAUGUAACUUCUAAGAUACUGAAAUUCUCCCCUGGAGAAGGCGAGGCAUGCCACUGGAUGUCGAACGUUGAUCUUGCAUGGAUGGCGAUGAUUAGAUUGUGUGUACUCGACCUACUGCUAUCAUCUCAUUAUAAAAUAAAUUGAUGGGCGGAGAUGAUCCAUGUGUGAUUAUUUCUUUGCUAUUUGUAUAUGUUGAAUUUCAGUGUGAUAAUCAAGGUGUAAAAUCUUGUAUUGUGUUUGAAUAUCAAGUAAAUGAUGAAGUCAAUCUCAGUAGCUUUGGCUAACAUUAUUUAUCUUGACAGACUCAAGGGAAAGAGGAGAAAAGUAAGAAAAUGUAAAGUAGUCAUUCUUAUUUCUAGAGAGCAAGAGGAAUUUGCAUAAAAUCCUCAAGAUAGGUUUCCCUGAAGAAUAGUUUCGAGGCCAUAUUUAUAAUCAAAACUUGGCAAGUGAAAUUGAAGAAAUGUGAUUUUUGUAGCUAUGGGGGGGAUAUUUUGGUAAUUUACCACAAUAAAUAUUUAGCCCCUAUUUGGUGGGCAUUAAAAUCAAUUUUUAGCAGAUUUUAAUAAAAGUUAAUAAAAUGUGUUGUUGAAAAGUUGUGGAUCCCAUAAAAUGUGGGGAUAAUGUUAAUUGUUGACUUUGACGAGUUUUAAAUUUACGAAAUAGGGGCUUAAUGCGUAAAAUUUUUACAGCAAUUUACAGUAGGACUGUAUUAUGAGACCUCAUCAUCUAAAACCUUGAUUUAAUUAUCCGAUGGACCAAAAUUCAAGCUAAAUACAGAGAUUUCUUGAACAAAGAUGCGCAAAUUCUUCAAUAUCCAACAAGAAAAUGUAGCACUUAAUUAUUUGGACAUGCCAAAUUCAUAGGAAUAUCAGUAUGCAUGGGACAAAAUGAAAGGAACAUUAAAACUUAUGGGACCAACCAUAAAUGGAUAUAAACUGAGUGCCAACAUGCGCUAAUAAUGAAGUGAAUACAAUAAAAAGAUGAGCAAAUGGCUUAAUAAUUGAUUUGUGUGGAAAUUGAUAGCAUUUAACCCAAUUAUUUGUAUGCCCUAUCUUCUACCUCCAUUGGAUUGAUUUUUGUGGAGAUUGAUAGCCUUUAACCCUAAUUAUUUUUAGACCUUAUGAGACCUAUCUUCGACCUCCAUUGGUAAAUUGUGCUAGCCAGGUAAAUCGCACUAGGCAAGUUCGGUGCGACAGGUCGAUCGAGAAAGUGUUGGUAGGGAGAAUCGAACUUGUGACCAAAGGCCUCCGCGUUCACCUACUCUAACUCAACCACCCCACGAGGGGCGCCUUUAACCUAAUUAUUUGUAUGCUCUUCACUCCAUUGGAUUGAUUUGUGUGGAGAUUGAUAGCAUUUAAUUCCAAUUAUUUUUGGGCCUUGUGAGACCUAUCUUCGACCUCCAUUGGCAUGCGAUCAUGCCCUGGUAGAGAGAUGCAUUUUUGGUCCGCAUAGUAAGUUGAUCUUAGUUCACAAAUUUGUGGACAUUAUACAAGACAUGCCGUCAAGCACUCUAUAUCAUUUAGUGACUCCUCCGUCUCCCUCACACCCUUGUCUAAUUCCAUUUCAUCCUAAUAAUUUAAAUAUACAUAUGUGUGUGUGAAAGUAUUAAAAUAAUAUACACAAUUUGUAGAUCAAUAAUAUAAUGCAUUAAGCGCGUGUUCAAUCUAUAAUAGACAGUACACCAACCUUAUUUCAACUUUUAAAGAUAAAUACGUAUUGAAAUUUUGAGGUAAUAUGGUACUAUGUACAUUUUAUAAAUAUUAUUUAGAAAAAAUGCAAAAUAAUUNNNNNNNNNNNNNNNNNNNNNNNNNNNNNNNNNNNNNNNNNNNNNNNNNNNNNNNNNNNNNNNNNNUUGAAUUAUAACAUUGUAUAUUAUUAUUAUUAGGUGGCCACGGUUGUCACAUUACGUUACUAUAAUAUUUUGCAAAAUGGACCACAAGUCCUUUUCACACUAUUGAAUUCUAUUAAAGCAUCCAAUCAGAAUUUAAACACCUUUCCUUUACUUCAUAAGCGUGGUAAGUAUGGUAAAAUUGCGUGGGUUGCAGGUGUUGACGGGGAUGAGUGAGUAAUAGUUGGUUGGAGGAGGUGAUUUACUAAUAUUAUUUUUUUAAAUUUUUUCUAGUUGUUAAUAUGUAUUUGAUUGUUUUAAUUGAGACACUUUUUAAAAAGUUAUGUGAUUUGAAUUGCAAUUUUUCUUAUUUUUUGUGUGGAAAUUGAUAACCUUUAAUCCAAUUAUUUGUAUGCCUUACCUUCUACCUCCAUUGGAUUGAUUUGUGUAGAGAUUGAUAGCCUCUAACCCCAAUUUUUUUUUAGGCUUUAUGAGACCUAUUUUCGACCUCCAUUGGUAUGCGAUCAUGCCCUGAUAGAGAAAUGCGUUGUCGGUCCGCAUAGUAAGUUGAUCUUCUAAAUUUUAACGAACAAGUUGAUCAACAAACAAUCAGUCUCCAACUAUGAAAAUCGUUUAAAUUAUAAUUAAAUCAUUAUGAAAAUUAGCCUCACUUCAAAUUUGUAGGCCCAGCCUACGUGAUGAUUUAACAAAUAUUUUGGCCUUUUUUAUUUCAUUAGUUGACACGCACGUUGCAUUUAUAAAAUUGGAACAAUGAGUGACUUAGGCUAUUAUAUAGUAGAAAUGUGCUACAUGUAUAGAAAUUUUCCUCACAAAAAUCUUACAGACAAGACAUAGCAGGGCGUGGGUGGUUUAUUUUUUGCAAUAAAAUAUUCACAUGGGUCCCACCCCAUGUAAAAUUUCUGUGAGGCUUUUGUAAGGGAGAUUUUCGUAUCUUCAGUUUUUAUUGUAUAUAGUAAAUGUGUAUGGAUAUGGUGAUAGAAGAAUUAUGAAUGAUUCACACAUAUAUCUCACGCGGAAUAAUUAUGGCAUACCUUAAAUAAGAACCUCAAGUUGGAAAUAACAGAUGGAUGAUUUUUGUACUGAAAGGAGCACGCAUAUAGAAACGGCAACAGAGAAAAGGUUUUGGGAACAUGAGAUAAAUGCUUUUCUUCCGAUAAUUCUUUUUAUCAAUCAAGGUAGAAUUACGAGGUGCAAGUGGUUGGUCCCGUUUGAUUUAUUUCUUCAUGUUAAUAAAUAUUAUGUUAAUCAAAGUUAUGGUAUGAUAUGGUAUGACCAUCCAAUACCAAAGAUAUGAUAUGUAUUGAAUUCUUAUCGAUUUCUAAAUAUAUAAUAAUGGUAUGAUAUUUUUGACACAUGAUUUAAUAUUUUUAUUUGGGACUGUACCGUUAUUCGUUUUCUACUGAGUAUUUCCGUGUACUCACAAUUUCUCCUACCCCUCAUAGGUUAUAAUGGGUCGUUGGUUGGUGGGUGAUGAGGUGUAGUCGUAGUUCCAGAAUUUGUGGAACUCAAUAAAUUAAAUCGGAUUUAUUUUAGUUUAUUUAUUAUGUGAAAUUUCGUCAUUUCGGAUUUGAAACAAAUUUAUUUGGUCAUGUUUUCCUAUAAUUUUCAUUUAAUGGCAGAACAAUAAAAAAUUUCACUUUAUGAUGUUCGAUGUGUUUAUUUAAUUAUUGAAUGGAAUUUUAGUAAUGAUUUAGAUGUUUAAAAUUUGGGUCUUACAAAAUGGUAUCAGAGUCCAGUGUUCUAAAAUUAAUUCUGUAGACUUUAAAAAAUAUAUAUAUUAUAACAAGAAAAGUUUUGCAAUUUUCAAGAUGUAGUUUUAAGUAUUUAUUUUAUUAUUAAUUAUCAAAAAUAAAUUUUUUUUUACUAAAAGUUAAGUUUUGCAAGAGUAUUUUUGAUAUAUUAUUUGAUCAAAAUUUUUGGAUUUUAUUUAGGGAAUGUGCUAUUUUUAAUUAAAUAUGGAAAGUGGGUGGACAAAUUUCCUAGAAUAUUGAUUUAACCGAAAAGAUCACACGUUUCCUUCAAAAAAAAAUGUGGUUAGUUAUCUUGAAAUUGUGAUUUUAAAACUUGAGACUUUUUUUGACCUCCACAUUGAUUUAUAUGUUUUUGUAGCAAAAUAAAAGAACCCAACUUUAGCACUAGAAAAUAAUUGACAGAAUCUUUGACCUACACACACAUUUGGAGGUGGGGCCAUUUCUUCCGUCCAAUUGUUUAUUCAUGUGGGGCUUGACGAUUGUUAGAGGAGGUCAGAUCAUCUAUCAUCCAUUUUUCUAGCACUUCAGUAAAAUUCAAAAUAUAAGUUACUCUAUCUUAUAGAAGAUCUUAUAGUUAUUCUCCAUUUUCAUAUAUUUCCCCCAUUCUACCUUCUUCGAAACUUUAUUCUCACUACAGUUUUAUUAAUGAGAUAGAGGUUUAAAGUUUAAAAGAAAUUAUUCAAUUUAAAGGUAUGGUUAGCAUUUAAGAUUUUUAUUCUCCAAUGUCACAUAAUUUUGAAAUGACUGUACUUAUAAACAUUAUAUUCUUUAUAACAUGUUAAUGGAUUUGUACAUGUUGACUUUCUUUCAAUUUUUAUUUUUAAAGAUGAUAUUAAAAAAUAAAUAAAUAAUUCUCAUAGAUGUAAUAUGUGGUGUCAUAUAUUUAUUUGCAUUAAUUGAAUUUUAUAGGUUUAUUAAUGAAUAUACCUUGAAAUAAAAAUUGUAUGCGAAUUUGUUUUUAAAUAUAAUGUAAAAUAGGAUUAUGUUCUUUUAAUUAUUUAGGAUUUGAUAUCAUAUAUAUUAAGAUAACGCUUUCCAAAUUUGAGACAAUUUUUACUAUAGUCAGUUAAAUAUUAAUUAUUAGCAUAGUAUUUGUCAAUUAUCUUCAAAACCUUCAAGUUGUUAUGUUAAGUUCUUUAGAGAUUAAAAUAUUAUUGCUAGUAUUUUACUUUAAAAAAAUAAAAAAUAAAAAGUUUGCGUUCACGUCACUGUUCACCCGAACGGUGAUACUGUUCACGUGAGAAAUUUUGUUUUUUUGACUGUUUUUUUCAAAUGAUUGUUUCAAACGAUUGUCAUAUAAUUAGUUUAUAUGAGAAUUAGAUUAAUUUAAAUUGUCAAUGUAUUAAAUGUGCGUGUAGCUAAUCUUUACGUGCUAUUAAUAAUUUUUUUGAUAUAAAUUUAAAUAUAUGGUGUAAUAUAUAUAUUUUAUUUAAGUUCUAAAACGUGUGAGAAUUGAAGAAUCCUUGGCACUCGACAACCACUUGUCAAUCACCCACGACGCUCUAAGGUACGUAAUGUGGGUAAGAAAAUAAAUGAUCAUUCAAAUAUUUUGUGUAACUAUUGCCUAAACAUAGAUUAAUGAUAUGUACAUUUUUUUCCUUGUCGAGAACUUUUCAAUUAUUCAAGACAAUUUUCAAUGACGAAAAUAUUUUAAAGAGUGGAGAUUAUAACGCCCUGAAAAUUUUGGAAUAAAAAUGUAUUUGUUUUAUAUAUUACAUUUUUAUAUUUUGAAAAAAAAACGAGGAUUUGGGUCAAAUAUUUAAAUAUUUAUAGAGUAAUGAUAAAUAUAUCAAUAUUGGACUCAUUGGAUAGCUCGUAAUUAACUAUGUAUAUUAGGCUCGAGAAAAAAUUGAUUUGAAUAAGUUGAACUCAAGAUAUUGAAGUUUGUAGACUUGUCACUUUUUAGUAGUUGUUUAUGAUUUUAUUUUUGAAUUUAUGAUGGAUGCCAACGUGUAAAUUAGAUAGGGAAGAUAAAGUAGCUUCUUUCCUUCCUUUUUAUUUUAUUUUUUAUUUUAUGACAUAUAUAAUAUAUAAUGGACACUUUCUUGAUAUAGUACACCACAGUCCAAUUUACACCUAAUGAAAUCAUCAAUGAACACCCAUAAUGCAUCAUUUUUUUUUUUUUUUUAACGAGGUGUCCUAGUUUGCGCCAGACUAUAUCAUCGUCCCUGAACCUCCAGCCCCUCAACAGCUCAGGGAGGUAAAUCGCGGGAUGUGCCCUUGUUGGUUCUCAGGUUCCCACACGAUUUUUACUCCUUCCCCAAAGGGAACCUUCCUCCAUAGUGAUUAAUUCACCAAUAAUUCCUCCUUUAUUGGAUCAAAGGUUCCCACUAGGAAUGAACUCCCCACGCUUGGUUCCAGAACCCUCCAAUGUGAUUGUUCCGCCAACUUGGAUGUGCUCCGGGGGGUCCCAUAAUGCAUCAUUUUGAAUCUAUGUACAAAUGCUAAAGUGUGCCUUCCCUUAUAUGUCAUACCUUUGGUGCAGCCAAUUUUGACUGUCGGUCACCCUUGGCUCCAUUACAAACCUAAAGCAAUGAACCUUUUUUUGAGGAAAUCAUGAACAUCACAGAGUGGAAAAUGGCACAAAUUAAAAACUUGCCUAAGAUAUGAGAAGAUGAAACACUCACCAUCUUUCCAGAAGAAAAUAUUAGGGCUGUUGUUUUUGGUUCUCUAAUCCUCAUAAUCACUGCAGUGAAACGCUGAAAACUCAUGACAUGUAAGAUCCACCAUACAUGGUUUUCAAAGAGAAAUUAGAGAGAAAAAUUAAGUGCUAAUAAGUAUUGUAAACAAAGCUAUGCUUGAUUUCAUUUAGAUUCAUUGAUGAUACUUCAUACAUUAUGCUGGGAUUUUUCUCAAGAUAGAUGAAUCACAAUAAUCAUAAGGAACCAAUGAGCAAGUCAUAAAAAUCAUUGGUAUGUAUAGCUCAAUUAGCUUCCAGAAAUCAUUUU